rnacentral:rRNA from 1 species
CGGAAUUACUGGGCGUAAAGCGCACGCAGGCGGUUUGUUAAGUCAGAUGUGAAAUCCCCGAGCUUAACUUGGGAACUGCAUUUGAAACUGGCAAGCUAGAGUCUUGUAGAGGGGGGUAGAAUUCCAGGUGUAGCGGUGAAAUGCGUAGAGAUCUGGAGGAAUACCGGUGGCGAAGGCGGCCCCCUGGACAAAGACUGACGCUCAGGUGCGAAAGCGUGGGGAGCAAACAGGAUUAGAUACCCUGGUAGUCCACGCUGUAAACGAUGUCGACUUGGAGGUUGUGCCCUUGAGGCGCGGCUUCCGGAGCUAACGCGUUAAGUCGACCGCCUGGGGAGUACGGCCGCAAGGUUAAAACUC